UCCUCGGUAGCUCAGCGGUAGAGCGGUCGGCUGUUAACCGAUUGGUCGUAGGUUCAAACCCUAUCCGGGGAG
rnacentral:tRNA from 3 species